rnacentral:rRNA from 1 species
GAUUGAACGCUGGCGGUAUGCUUAACACAUGCAAGUCGAACGGAAACGAUACUAGCUUGCUAGUAGGCGUCGAGUGGCGGACGGGUGAGUAACGCGUAGGAAUCUGCCUGAUAGUGGGGGAUAGCCCGAAGAAAUUCGGAUUAAUACCGCAUAAUCUAUUCGUAGUAAAGUGGGGGACUUUCGAGCCUCACGCUAUCAGAUGAGCCUGCGUAAGAUUAGCUUGUUGGUAGGGUAAAAGCCUACCAAGGCGACGAUCUUUAGCUGGUCUGAGAGGAUGAUCAGCCACAUCGGGACUGAGACACGGCCCGAACUCCUACGGGAGGCAGCAGUGGGGAAUAUUGGACAAUGGGGGCAACCCUGAUCCAGCAAUACCGCGUGUGUGAAGAAGGCCUGAGGGUUGUAAAGCACUUUCAAUUGUGAAGAAAAGUUAGCGGUUAAUAACCGUUAGCCUUGACGUUAACUUUAGAAGAAGCACCGGCUAACUCCGUGCCAGCAGCCGCGGUAAUACGGAGGGUGCAAGCGUUAAUCGGAAUUACUGGGCGUAAAGCGUGCGUAGGCGGUUUAUUAAGUCAGAUGUGAAAGCCCCGGGCUUAACCUGGGAACUGCAUUUGAAACUGGUCAACUAGAGUAUGGUAGAGGAAAGUGGAAUUUCUGGUGUAGCGGUGAAAUGCGUAGAUAUCAGAAGGAACAUCAAUGGCGAAGGCAGCUUUCUGGACCAAUACUGACGCUGAGGUACGAAAGCGUGGGUAGCAAACAGGAUUAGAUACCCUGGUAGUCCACGCCGUAAACGAUGAUAACUAGCCGUUGGGGGGGAUUUACCCUUUAGUGGCGAAGCUAACGCGUUAAGUUAUCCGCCUGGGGAGUACGGCCGCAAGGUUAAAACUCAAAGGAAUUGACGGGGACCCGCACAAGCGGUGGAGCAUGUGGUUUAAUUCGAUGCAACGCGAAGAACCUUACCUGGUCUUGACAUCCUGCGAACUUUCUAGAAAUAGAUUGGUGCCUUCGGGAACGCAGUGACAGGUGCUGCAUGGCUGUCGUCAGCUCGUGUCGUGAGAUGUUGGGUUAAGUCCCGUAACGAGCGCAACCCCUAUCCUUAUUUGCCAGCACAUCAUGGUGGGAACUAUAAGGAGACUGCCGGUGAUAAACCGGAGGAAGGCGGGGACGACGUCAAGUCAUCAUGGCCCUUACGACCAGGGCUACACACGUGCUACAAUGGGAAGGACAAAGAGCCGCGAAGCCGCGAGGUGUAGCUAAUCUCAUAAACCUUUUCGUAGUCCGGAUUGGAGUCUGCAACUCGACUCCAUGAAGUCGGAAUCGCUAGUAAUCGUAGAUCAGAAUGCUACGGUGAAUACGUUCCCGGGUCUUGUACACACCGC